CGUGAACGCUGGCGGUAGGCCUAACACAUGCAAGUCGAACGGCAGCACAGUAAGAGCUUGCUCUUACGGGUGGCGAGUGGCGGACGGGUGAGGAAUACAUCGGAAUCUACUUUUUCGUGGGGGAUAACGUAGGGAAACUUACGCUAAUACCGCAUACGACCUACGGGUGAAAGCAGGGGAUCUUCGGACCUUGCGCGAUUGAAUGAGCCGAUGUCGGAUUAGCUAGUUGGCGGGGUAAAGGCCCACCAAGGCGACGAUCCGUAGCUGGUCUGAGAGGAUGAUCAGCCACACUGGAACUGAGACACGGUCCAGACUCCUACGGGAGGCAGCAGUGGGGAAUAUUGGACAAUGGGCGCAAGCCUGAUCCAGCCAUACCGCGUGGGUGAAGAAGGCCUUCGGGUUGUAAAGCCCUUUUGUUGGGAAAGAAAAGCAGCAGGUUAAUACCCCGCUGUUCUGACGGUACCCAAAGAAUAAGCACCGGCCAACUUCGUG
rnacentral:rRNA from 1 species